rnacentral:rRNA from 1 species
AGAGUUUGAUCCUGGCUCAGGAUGAACGCUAGCGGCAGGCUUAACACAUGCAAGUCGAGGGGUAUGCUUCUUCGGAAGCAGAGACCGGCGCACGGGUGCGUAACGCGUAUGCAAUCUACCUUUUACAGAGGGAUAGCCCAGAGAAAUUUGGAUUAAUACCUCAUAGUAUAGCUGAAUCGCAUGAUUUUACUAUUAAAGUCACAACGGUAAAAGAUGAGCAUGCGUCCCAUUAGCUAGUUGGUAAGGUAACGGCUUACCAAGGCUACGAUGGGUAGGGGUCCUGAGAGGGAGAUCCCCCACACUGGUACUGAGACACGGACCAGACUCCUACGGGAGGCAGCAGUGAGGAAUAUUGGACAAUGGGCGCAAGCCUGAUCCAGCCAUGCCGCGUGCAGGAUGACGGUCCUAUGGAUUGUAAACUGCUUUUAUACGAGAAGAAACACUGCUUCGUGAAGCAGCUUGACGGUAUCGUAAGAAAAGAAUCCCUCCCC